UACGAAGGGGCUAGCGUUGUUCGGAAUUACUGGGCGUAAAGCGCGCGUAGGCGGACUUUUAAGUCAGGGGUGAAAUCCGGAGGCUCAACCUCGGAACAGCCUUUGAUACUGGAGGUCUCGAGUCCGAGAGAGGUGAGUGGAAUUCCGAGUGUAGAGGUGAAAUUCAUAGAUAUUCGGAGGAACACCAGUGGCGAAGGCGGCUCACUGGCUCGGUACUGACGCUGAGGUGCGAAAGCGUGGGGAGCAAACAGGAUUAGAUACCCCCGUAGUCCCUGAG
rnacentral:rRNA from 1 species